AGUGAACGCUGGCGGUAGGCCUAACACAUGCAAGUCGAACGGCAGCACAGUAAGAGCUUGCUCUUACGGGUGGCGAGUGGCGGACGGGUGAGGAAUACAUCGGAAUCUACUUUUCGUGGGGGAUAACGUAGGGAAACUUACGCUAAUACCGCAUACGACCUACGGGUGAAAGCAGGGGAUCUUCGGACCUUGCGCGAUUGAAUGAGCCGAUGUCGGAUUAGCUAGUUGGCGGGGUAAAGGCCCACCAAGGCGACGAUCCGUAGCUGGUCUGAGAGAUGAUCAGCCACACUGGAACUGAGACACGGUCCAGACUCCUACGGGAGGCAGCAGUGGGGAAUAUUGGACAAUGGGCGCAAGCCUGAUCCAGCCAUACCGCGUGGGUGAAGAAGGCCUUCGGGUUGUAAAGCCCUUUUGUUGGGAAAGAAAAGCAGCAGGUUAAUACCCCGCUGUUCUGACGGUACCCAAAGAAUAAGCACCGGCUAACUUCGUG
rnacentral:rRNA from 1 species